GGAGAGGUGGCUCAGCCAGUAAGAGCACUGGCUGCUCUCAUAGUGGACCUGGGUUCAAAUCCCAGCAUCCACA
rnacentral:tRNA from 1 species